AUGAGACAGUUGGCAGUGGUAAGUGAGCAUGAGUAUCUGUUUACUAAUAACCCUUUAAUUACUUCAGCUGGUGGAUGGGAUAAAAACGCCAGACUCAAGCAGGAGAACGUCUUCAGGGUGUGUUGGUUUUCGUGGACUCUUCCCAUCUCGUUUCAGUCAGCGAACAGGGACUGUGCCGCAUUCACUGGCUGCCCUUUAGCUCAGCCGUGCUGCAAAAGCAUACAUUUUAAUGAUGAGACCUUUUCUUUUAAAUAACUCCUCUACAGGAGAAAAAUAAAUUGCUGUUCAAGAGGAAAUAUUACACUGGGCAUUGUGGGAUUGAGAAGGAUUGAGCGGAGCGGGCCGUGUGACCCAUACGUCACAGCCAACCUGUAUAAAUUAAGAUAUAAAUACAGUAGCUUUAUACAGAGAAACUUUACAUUGGGUCUUUACAUUUACAUCCGAAGGAGUGUGUGUGUGUGCAAGGCCUUGUGCACAGACGGAAGUGUGCGUUCAUGUGUGUGUGUGUGUGUAAGAGGGGUAGAAGGGAGAGAGUGUGUUUGUAUGUGUGUAUGACAUAGAAAAUCCCCCUCGGAGUGCUGGGCAAAUAGAAAGCAGGCCGUAUAAAGGCUGAAAAGACCUCGCUUGGUUAUUGUAUAUUCCUCGCCUGGAUCCCUGUAAAGACCCCCAUAGCCCUGCACUGUCACCAGGGCCACUGUGUCAUCAUGGACAGCCGGCUUUAGACGGAGCCCUGGCGAAGGCUCCAAAAGGAAAUUAAAAGGGGAUUAUGGCUGCCUGACUCACUGAAGGGAUUCGCUAGGCCCGGGUUUUAUUUAGUUCUUGGUGCUGUGCGCUGCCUGAAGUGUGAGGAGGGACCAGAGUAGGCCUGUUCAAAGCCUUCACACUCCGCUCUGCUUAUCUACAAAAACUGAUGUAAUAUUUCAGAACGGUAUAUAUGUGUUAGGCCCACGGGAAAUGCUUGCACUCCGUCUCCACCUGUGAAUUUAUCGAAUCCAUCGCACACAAGAGAAAAGAAAUCGCUGUUUUAAAAAACAUAGGUAUAUGAAUACAGGCUUCUGAAUUUUGAUUUCAUUGACGAAUACAGACGUAAACAUGAUGUGUGUUUAAAGCACUACCGCUGAAGAAUUAAACUGAUGCAUGUUUUUUUUUAUUUUUAUUUUUACUCUUUUGAUAAGACGCACAGCCUACCUUGAAUGUGCUGUAACUUUGGAUAAAAUCGACUGUUAAACAAAUAUAAAAUAUAAACUCUUUCUGUUUCCCAGCUAUGGACCUCCCACAGUCAGUUCACUGACCAUCUGAUGCAAACUGGACACAAAAAUGGCAAGAGAUGGUCAAAAUCGGCAGUUCCAAUCUGAUUGGCUGACCUUACGAACUUCUGGGAGAAGGGCAUGCAGGGUUUUUAUCACUGUGCCAUGAAUCAAAGUCAUGUUAACAAAGUACUGGGCUGAUAAAUGCACAUUUGAGGAUGAAAUAAUAAAGAUUUAAAAGCUUAAUAGUAUUAUAUCUGAAACAUUAAGUAGCAAAGUAACUAGAUUUUCUGUUACACUUUCUGUUUUGCCUGUUAAAUGAUCUAUUCAAUUAUUUUGGACGGCAGAAAUACUGAUUACAAAUCACGGGUUAGUUUUAGCAAAGGAUUGGUUCUCUUCACUGUCACUCUGACAGGAUGCUUUGCAGUGUUUGCGUCUAUUUGUGUGUGUGUGUGUGUGGCAGCAUUAUCAAUUAUCCAGUGCGCAGUCU
ensembl:lncRNA